AUAGAGAUUCGCUACUGAACACUGAUUUGUGUUGAGAUUGAGAGUGGAAUCCAGAUUUUGACGUUUCGAAGCUUGGUUGUUGUUUCUGCUGAAAUUAGCAUUUGAACUAAGAUUUAAGAAAUUAACCCUAUGAAAAAGUGCUGAACUCUCGAUUCUAAAAUUUCAUUUCAUUGAAUAAUCAAGUUCUGAAAUUUUGUAUGAACUUAAUUUGAGGUUAUAAUGGCAGAAAAAAAGGAUUCUUUUCUGAAGAGCAGGCGCAAAACAUAUGAUGCUGAAAAGCUGCGCCGUAUGAGAAAGCAGCUGGAGUUGAUGCGUAUGAAUAACCAGUUGCUUGUCCUGAAAAUGCUUAUGAGGAUCUACCGAACUCUCAAAAUCAUCGAAACUUGGGAUAUAGUAGUAGAAAGAGAGUUAAGUAAAUGCCAAAAAUAGGACUUUUCAAAGAUAAUGUAAGACUUUCUGUAACAAGAUGGAUCAUUUUGUACCAUAAAAGUAUAUCACUACUAAGUGCCUCAUUCAAAACAUCUACAGGAUAUUUGUUGCUGUUUUUGCUACACUACUUUCAUUUUUGUGUUAACUAUAAAACAUUUCUUCACUCCUUAGCUUUUACUUCAACUAACUUAUUUGGUGUAACUAACUGAUGUUCGUUACUUUUUUUUUCUUUUGUGUA